rnacentral:tRNA from 5 species
GGAGGGGUGGCCGAGUGGCUGAAGGCGGCGGUUUGCUAAAUCGUUGAAGGAGGAAACUCCUUCCGGGGGUUCGAAUCCCUUCCCCUCCGCCA